UCAGUUCCUGGCAAGGGCCUGCUUCCUGUGUGUAGAUAGCAGCCUUCUUGCUGUGUCCUCAUGUGGCACUUGUAAGGGACUAAUCCCACCAUGUGGCUUCAUUCUCCUGACCUCAUCUAAACCUAAUCAGCUCCCAAGACUCUACCUCCAAAUAUAUAUUCACCAUAUUAGGGGUUAGGGCUUCAACGUAAGAAUUUGAGGGAAACACAAACAUCCCGUUGAUAACAGGAAGGAGCUUGAAACCGAGGAAGAGAAAGCCAGAGAAGAUGGGAAGAAGGCCCUCGGGGGCAGGACAUGGGUAAGGUCAGGGAAUAAGGACAGUGAUAACCAUCCAGUUACUUCUCUAAUAAUGAGAAAGGCCACGUCAUUUGGGGAGCAAUGCUGUCUGAUAUUAAACACUACUUCGUUUCGUAUUUUGCACUGUCAUUAGUCUUGCUGUUAGUUAAGGUUUAUUAACCGCUAAUGAAGCGUCAGCUGGUGGUGGUGAUGCCCUGGGAAAAGGAGGAGGAGGAGGGUCAGUCGGAACAAAGAAGGGAUGGGGAGACACCAAACAGUUGGAGGGAAAGGUUGAAGGCAGGAGCUCUGAGUUGAGGUAAUGAGAAAAGGAAAAAAAAAAAAAAAAAAAAAGUAAAAUCUCAGAAUCUCCUUCCCUUCAACCCAGGAACCCUCAGAGGCAUUUAGGAGGGAAAUUAAAUUCCUUUGGAAAUAAUAUAUCAUGGAAGUUGGAGUCCUUUCAUGUGGUUGUAGUUAUUUCUCUGAAUCCAAAAAGCUGGAGGACUUGAAAAGUGAAAUAUAAAUACCGAUUUCCUUUCUGUGUCUGUCUGCUCUAGAGAAUUCUGAUUCCCAAGGUUUGUGGUAGGGUUAGGUGCCCGGAUGGCUCUGAUGGGUCACUAAGGCCCCCGGGGCCACUGCCAUUGGCUGUGGAGGCCAGCAGAGUUUCAAGGGGGUGGGUUUGCUUUAGAACACCCAUCUUGGUUGCCCGGGUGAUGGUGGGAAGGUGGGGCAAAGCUUGGUUUUAUCAGGAGAACUGCGAUCACCUGACUCUGGACCUUCCCCAGGCCUCCUGUGGCACACAGGCUCUCAGGGCACCUGUCAUGCGUCCUGUCAUUUUGUGUUACCACUUUCUUAGAGGGAGCCCUCUCCUUGACAGCAGAGUGCCUUUCAUUUGUAAUUCCCGUUGAUUGUUGUCGAAGGAAAACAAAAACCAGCAUGUUUGUCUUUCAUUAGCCUGCGCGCCCCACCCCCCACCACCCCGGAAGACAGGGACAGAGCCAAGGCCACGUGGACCUAGUAUUUGACUACCGUCUUUGGAAUCCUGCUAGCUUCUAGCUUUUAUAUCUUAUCAGAAAGCCAGGAAAUUGCUAAAGCAAACACCCCCUUUUUGCAUUAGGCUAGGCCCAGCUCGAGUUUCAAAAGAAGAGCCUGGCUCCUUCCCCAGGAACAGGCUCCAGUGUUUCCCCACUUUGCAGUAAAAUGCAGAAAACAAUUGGGGAUGCUGCUGUGCUAACACAAUGACAUUAGAAAUGUGUACUUAGUUAAAGCUGAGAAUACUAGGUACCCUCCUUUAGGGGGUUUUCUCCCCUUAAAAAUGUGUCUUGUGCUCUGAAUUUAAGGGACAGAAUGUAACAAUUAAUGAGCACAAUACAAGGAACCGUCUUCUAGAGCCAUGCAGCCCCCACCCCGUGCACCUCCCUUUUGAAUGUAAAUGCGGGCAAUACCAGGAACCCAGCCGGGCACUGUGUUUGUGCUGUCUGGGUAUCUCCACUCUGUCUGUUUGGAGUCUUAGGUAAACACGCCCCCAGCCACAGAGCGUGGCCACGUGUCAGCGCUGCGGCCUCUUCCACCAAAGCGCCUCCUCUGUAAAUUCUGAUUAGCAUCUCUCGAACCCAUUGUAAGCUUGCAGAGUCCAAGAACAAAAGACGCUGUACCGGAACUCAAAACAGUAAGUGCGUUUACCCAGGAGCAGCUUUUGGUACAUCAUUCUUUUCCAAACAUCAGCAGAAAACUUGUACGUAAAGGGUUAUCUCACUUCAUGAUAUGAAGCUGGGUACAGGAUAGGUUGGGCGUCUGUAAAUGGGGUGUUGUCAAUCGUAUCUCAUCCUUCUGCCCCAGUGGGAAGUAAUACACAUAUUACACAUAAACACACGCCUCGUUAUACGAGUGUGACACAACAUGCUAACAUUUGUACUAUUAAUAACGAGCACUCAAAAUGCUAAUUGUCAUUUUUCAGGGUCCGGAGCAUUUGUUUCAGGAGAACAAGGCCACAGCUCACAUUGUUCUCACAGUAUGGCCAGCAGCUGGCUUUACCACAAUGGGGCCCAUUGUUGGGUAAAUGGAGUCCCUCAGGUGAAUGUAAUUAUGCAAAUCCUUCCAGAACCACCAGCACUCUCUUGGCCCUCUCCCCGGUGGCCUCCCACCACCGGGAACACUGUCACUUUUCAUUACAGGAGGCCUCGCUUGUGUGCUGGGAGUGUCCACCCCACCGGGCCCACUAAGGAGCUCCCCAGGAGACCAAAUCCUUUCCGCUGACACAUUUCUCCACAUGUGUCAAACAUUAAAAAACAUACCUUUAAUUCCCUAAAGUGCACACAGGUAAUUCUAAUGCCAGAGGCGAGAAAGGUAGGAUAAGGUCCUUUGCGAAAUGUGAUGCAAGUUAUAUAGACCCAUGGUCAAGUGCUAUAUACGCCGUGCGCGCGCGUGCGCACACACACACGCACGCACGCACACAGUUACUCUUCAUUCACUUUAGGACACUGGCAUCUCCAAUCCACAGACAUAAGCAAACUGAGCUAUUUUUUGUAAUUGUCUUAACAUUUAUUAAUUUUUGAGAGACAGAGACAGAGGUGAGCGGGAGAGAGGGAGACACAGAAUCCGAAGCGGGCUCCAGGCUCUAGGCUGUCAGUGCAGAGCCCCCCGCAGGCCUCGAACCCUGAGAUCAUGACCUGAGCCGAAGUCAGACGGUUAACCCACUGAGCCACCCAGGUGCCCCUAUUAUUGCUUAUUUAUUAACACAACUAUACACAUACCUAGAAAUAGGGAACCUGGACAAAAAGAUCUCUUGAAAGUCCCCACCCUUUUAAAUUUACAUGAGUCACUCCGUGUGCAGGGGUCAGUUUUUCCACAUUUUUGGUGAUUUCCCACAGUCACCAAAAUAGAACUCUGCCUGCAAGUGGGUCCCACACAAAUGUUGAGGGAACGCAAACUCAAACUAACCUCUGUUUACUUUUGAGAACUAGCUCAAUGAAAUAAGAACAUUAGUUUAAUUAUCAUAUAUUAUUAAUGAAUAACACUUUAUUUCUCAGCAAGGAAAUAAAUCCAUCAGAGACGGGCCCUAACGUGGAGCAGAUCCUGUCAUUCAUGACCUCUUCUCUGAUUCUCCGUCGUGGAGAGAGCUUGGCCACAGUGACUACAGGCUCAGGAGUUUGGAGCCGGUGAAGCCGGAAUAUCAAUCAUCAGGAUUCGAAUGAAGAUGGAUAUUCAUCAGCCCUUGGCUGAAAAAGCCACCGGGCUCCUUUCCAGGGCCGGUGCAUUGCGUUCUGGGAGACCAAGGCUGAGCUAAGGCAAUCGAAUGCUGUCCCCAGAAAGCUAAAUCACACCUUGCCUUUCAAGAUACUCUAAAACCAUCAACAAACUUCCAGGGUCAAUUCAAAGCUGCUCUAUCCUCUGUAUGAACAAUGAAGAAUGUGGCUACCUGCCAGCCUGGGCGCAUUCAUGACUGAAAGCAUCACGUGUCUCCUGAGCAUUAGCUAUGCUUUAUUAUUAGUGUUAAGGACAGUAGGAACAUGUGGAAGAUGGAAACUAAAUCCCAACUAUUUUCACUUUUGAAAUUUCUCUUCUAAUCCUAAUAGUGUACGUGCUCAUUUUUGCUUGGUAACCCACUGUGUGCAAAAGGACACAUCCUGCUUUCUUUUACUGAACAUUAGUUACAUAGCAAGUGUUUUCCUUGCUUUUUGUAGGGUACACUUUGUUUCAAAUGGCUGCAUUGUGCCAUAAUUUAAUGAAUGCCUUAUUUUUUCUUCCUUCCUUUCUUCAUUCCAAUUUCUUAACUUCCUACCCACCUUCUUUCUUUCUUUUCUUAUCAUAAAUCCUAUGGCUUCUUAUUUAUUUUGGCUUUUUUUUUUUUUUACCAAGUUAUCCGAUGUGGGAUUACCGUCUCAAGGCAAACAAUGCUUUUAUUAUUCUUUAUAUAUGAUGCUAAUUUGUUUUCCAAAAUAGUUGCAGCCAUUCACACUGUCAGCGAGGGUAUAGGAGUACAUCCAAUCCCCUAAACCUUUCUAACAGUGUGAGGGAUGUCUGAAUUGCCAAAAACAUCCUUGUUGCUAUUUUUACGUAUAUUUUUAUUUUUAGCAAGGUUGCUAAUUUUAAAUUUUUGUUAACUAUGUUUCCUGUUAUUCAGCUAAUUCAUUUAUCUACUGCAUUUUUUAAUGAAUUCUUUAAAAAAUAAAAAAUUUGCUAUAUUUGGGGCACCUGGCUGGCUCAGUCAGUAGAGCAUGCGACUCUUGAUCUCAGGGUUGUGAGUUUGGGCCCCAUAUUGGAUGUGAAGACUGCUUAAAAAAAAAAAAAAGAAUUUGCUGUAUUUAUCAUAUUUGCUGUAUACAUCUUUUCACAGCCUUUGUAUGCCUUUCUA